rnacentral:lncRNA from 1 species
AAAAUUUUACAGGAAUUUAAAGAGGGAAAGAUGAUUUCCCGAGAGAUCUGCCAUGGUAGCAGCACUGGGAAGGCAAAGAGGCCACUGCACUGGUAGAGAACUGAGAGGAAAGCCAAAAUGGUGCAGAGAAGAACACGAUUCUGGAGGAUGCCAGUGGUGGGGAUAGCGGCAUUUCUUUUCAAAAUGAAGCUGGCGUAUGGAGAAAUAUACUUAAUUCACAGUCGUAUGUGUCCGGAUCAUGGAAAUUAUAAGGCGAAGUUAAGAGCGGAAGCUUGAAAUCAAGUUUUCCUGUCCUUCUCUUAUUUCGCUCUGGAGGCAUAGUCCUCAGUCACACUUGCAAGAAAUCAUUCCUCAUUCAAAAUUCAUU